CUAAUGGGCCUGGAGUUAGAAUUCCUCUACUUCUCCCAGCCUCAAAGCAGGUGAGACACAGCCCAUGGCCAUGCAACCUUCCCCGCAAAGGUCCCAUUAAUAUUCUUCAAAUGUGGCCUGGAGAUAUCAGCUCUGGGGACAAAAGGGGAAUUGAGUCUCCAUGGCCAAUUCACUCCUUGGCCUCC
rnacentral:sRNA from 1 species